CUCUCCCAGUCCAUAUUCUGACUCUUCUCCAGAGCUGACAGUGUGUGGAAUUUAGAAACCUGUAACUGAUUUGUCCAUUUAUUCAUUCAACAAAUACUUAUGGAUGACGAACCAUGUAUCAAUCCUAUAGGCAGAAGGGUGAUGAUGCUUAGAUGGCCUUGAGGAGGAGGGACUGACCCCUCAUCCUGGAGCCUGGAAGAGAGGAGGGCAUCCAACCAAACAGGCUUCCAGAAAAAUUAAUUUGUCUUCCUUUUAUGAAAUCAACUCUGAGACAUUAGCCAAAAGCAUCGUGGAAGAAAAGUCCAGCUCUGCCGCUUAAAUCCUGCUGGGUCACCCAACUGAAUCCACUGUUUAGGGCUCAUCGGAAAAAUCGCAGCCUGAAUAAGAUACAUAUGGAGUAGUUGGGGAAACAGUAUUUUAUACGGUUAUCUCUUUAGCACUGAUUUGCUCUCAGUGAACGUUUACACUCUUGGUUUUCUCCCUUUAUUUGACUUGGUAAGUAUUUAUAUCCGGUCUGUAUAUCACCUUUAAAAAACUGGCUCGUGCCACCCGUGUUCUUUUGAAUUGUAUAAAGAAG
rnacentral:lncRNA from 1 species